rnacentral:rRNA from 1 species
ACACGCAUGACACACUGCAUAUCAAUAAGCGGAGGAAAAGAAACUAACAAGGAUUCCCUUAGUAACGGCGAGUGAAGCGGGAAGAGCUCAAAUUUGAAAUCUUCAAGGUUUUACCUUGACGAAUUGUAGUUUAAAGAAGUGUUUUCUGUUGGAGUUUUGGUAAAAGUUCUUUGGAAUAGGACAUCAUAGAGGGUGAGAAUCCCGUAUUUGACCAUUAUUUCCAGCUGUGUGAUACACUUUCAAAGAGUCGGAUUGUUUGGGAAUGCAGUCCAAAAUGGGUGGUAAAUUUCAUCUAAAGCUAAAUAUUGGCGAGAGACCGAUAGCGAACAAGUACCGUGAGGGAAAGAUGAAAAGAACUUUGAAAAGAGAGUUAAACAGUACGUGAAAUUGUCAAAAGGGAAGCGUUUGACACCAGUGUUGUUUUCUCGAAAAUCAAUUAAAAAUGAUGGGAUUUUGUGUUGUAUCGACUUUAUCAGCUUUCUGCACUUUUUUCUUAUCUUUUUUAAUGCACUUUUCGUUUAACAAGUCAACAUCAAUUUCUUUUGUUGUAAAAGAGUCAUUGGAAGGUGGCUUUUUCUUCGGAAAAAGUGUUUAUAGCCUUUGGCUUCUGCAAUCGGAGAGAUUGAGGUCUGCAGCGUAGAUCCUUCGGGGUUAGAUACAUUUGUGCUAAGUUAUAGCUUUUCAUAGACAACUUGUUGACUAUGUUUAGUCUUGUAGCUUACUCGCUUACUGCUAUUUUACCUACGCUUAGGAUGUUGAGCGCAUGUCUCUCUCU